ensembl:lncRNA
GACAACAGUGAACAGCGACUGAGGGGCUCAAGUGAAGCCACCGGAGCUCUCCAUCUCUUGGUUUUUACCUCUCUCUGCAGGCUCUGUUCUCACUCGUGGCUGAUGGGCAAAGGCGGCUACGGAGGCACAGCUACGUGCAGAUGUCCUUACAGCUUUGCAACCCUCAAGGAAAAAGAGAUGUGGAUUUUAUGGAAUAGGUGCUACGUGGAGGAAUCCUGAGUCAUGGCCAAACAGCAAAUGCCAGCAAGAGUAGAGUAGGAGGCAUUUCUGUGUACACUUUGGGAAAAAGUCCAUUCCUCACUUGGUUUCAUUCCUGGCCUGAGCCACUGUGUCCUCCACCUGAAGCCCUAACCUCUCCAUUACUGACUGGAUCCCAAUGUGCCACAGUUCACCUGCAUGAGGAGGGGUCAAAGACAAGAAAACUGAAAGUGAGAGGCUAAGUCAUUUGCUGAGGUCAUAUGACAUCUAAAUGGCAGAGCUCGGAAACCUCAGGGAUUAGAGUGAAGUGGGGUCUCACUCUGUCACCCAGGCUGGAGUACAGUGGUGCAAUCAUAGCUUACUGCAGCCUUGACCUCCUAGGCUCAAGCGAUCCUCCUGCCUCAGCUCCUGAGCAGCUGGAACUACAGACUCAGUCUGCCUGCACCCAGGUGAAAUGAACAGCCAUGUUGCUCACACAAAGCCUGUUUGGGGGUCUCUUCACACGGAUGUGCGUGAGACAUUCUGAGCCAAAUGUGAGUGACCAAUGGCCCAUGACAAAGCCCUCUGGAGACCCUGAGAACCCACGUGUCCGUGGAGGUCGGGGUGCAGCUUAAUUUUUUAUACAUUUCAGGGAGACAUGAAACAUCAGUCAAAUACAUUUAGGAUAUAUAUUGGUCCAGUUCAGAAAGGAGAGACAACUCAUAGGAGGUGGGGUUUGAGGUUAUAGGUAGAUUUAAAAUUUUUCUGAUUGGAAAGAGUUGAAAGAGUUAUUACCAAAAAAAAAAAAAAAAAAAGGAAUAUCUGGCUUAAGAUGAGAGGUCAUAGAGACUAAAGUUAUAUCAUGGAGAUGAAGGCUCCAGGUAGCCGGCUUUAAGGAGAAUAGACUGUAAAUAUUUCUUAUCAGACUUAAGGUCUGUGUUGAUGUUAAUGCUGGUUGGCUUUUCCUGAAUUCCAAAAGGGAGAAGGUCAUAAUGAGGCAUGUUUGACCCCUACUCCAGUCAUGGCUUGAACCAGUCUUUCAGGUUAAAUUUGGAGUGCUCUGGCCUAGAGGAGGAGGCCCAUUCAGAUGGUUGAGGGGCCUUCGAAUUUUAAUUUUGGUUUACAGCAGUAACUACAAGAAUUUUUCCCAAGUUCUGUGAGCAAUACUAACAAAUUAAUCAAGCGCAAGGAGGGGGUCAUGGAAGCCUUGAUUUAUAGCCAAUUGGACAGACGUAUAGGAGAUGACCUAUUACUUGCGACUGGUGUCUGAAACAUGGGGUAAUUAUCAGGCCUCUGAGCCAAAGCUAAGCCAUCAUAUCCCUGUGACCUGCACGUACACAUCCAGAUGGCCGGUUCCUGCCUUAACUGAUGACAUUCCACCACAAAAGAAGUGGAAAUGGCCUGUUCCUGCCUUAACUGAUGACAUUACCUUGUGAAAUUCCUUUUCCUGGCUCAUCCUGGCUCAGAAGCUCCCUCACUAAGCACCUUGUGACCCCCCCCACUCCUGCCCGCCAGACAACAACCCCCUUUGACUGUAAUUUUCCUUUACCUACCCAAAUCCUAUAAAAUGGCCCCACCUCUAUCUCCCUUCGCUGACUCUUUUCAGACUCAGCCGGCCUGCACCCAGGUGAAAUAAACAGC